CCUACGGGGGGCAGCAGUGGGGAAUAUUGGACAAUGGGCGAAAGCCUGAUCCAGCCAUGCCGCGUGUGUGAAGAAGGCCUUCGGGUUGUAAAGCACUUUCAGUGGGGAAGAAAGCCUUGGGGCUAAUACCCUCGAGGAAGGACAUCACCCACAGAAGAAGCACAGGCUAACUCCGUGCCAGCAGCCGCGGUAAUAGGAGGGUGCGAGCGGUAAUCGGAAUUACUGGGCGUAAAGCGCGCGUAGGCGGUCUGAUAAGCCGGUUGGGAAAGCCCCGGGCUCAACCUGGGAACGGCAUCCGGAAAUGGCAGGCUAGAGUGCAGGAGAGGAAGGUAGAAUUCCCGGGGGAGCGGUGAAAUGCGGAGAGAUCGGGAGGAAUACCAGUUGCGAAGGCGGCCUUCUGGACUGACACUGACGCUGAGGUGCGAAAGCGGGGGUAGCAAACAGGAUUAGAUACCCUUGUAGUC
rnacentral:rRNA from 1 species